CUUCUCAGCCAGAAGCAUUCUCUUCUCCCCUUGUCACGUUCGCUGUUUCUUCUGUUUCUUCACUAAGACCCAGUUUCGUAUGAUCCCAAAGGGCUAGUGACACGGGGCUUCCUGCCAUUCCGAAAGGAAGGUUUGCUGAUGCCGGACUUGCUGACGUUACUUGGGCUAUUUGCUUUUCCUUCUAAGGUCCUGGCCUCGACUUUUAUCUGAAUCUUUCACCCAGAAAAGACACGCGUGGGGCGUGGGGUGACGCGGCCCUGCUGUCCCGCAGCUGUGAGGAAGUGGUUUCUUCGUCAGGUCUCUCCUGUGUGCUAGGAAUGUGGCUGAGAGGAGGAAAAAGUGUUCGUGCCGCUGAAUUUUCAGAGAGCACCAUUUUGGUUCUAAACAGAGCUUUUCCCGCAGGGGGAUGCGCUGGGGGUCUCGUUGGUUUUGAAUCGCAUUCGCCUUGCUGUGUGGGAAGGGGCACCCGCCUGCCCUCAUCUCUCCGGACUGAGUUUGCUGUCUUGGGCACCUCGGUCAGCAUGUAGCACUGUGGUGGUGUGCGGUCCCUCAUCCCGAGGCCUCUGAGAGGACAAAGACAGCCUUGUGUGGCAAAGCUCUAUGUCAGAAUCAAGGUGGCCGAACUCCCUGGCUUCCUCUCCUGUCCAGUGCUCUGCUGUCACUAAGCUGUUAGGCCGACUUCAUUGGCUCCAAAACGCACUGGCAUAUGUAAAUCUCCUUUGAUUGGAGACCUAUUGAUUAUAGGUAACAUAAGCCUCUGGAAGGGGCACAGAGCUCAAGUGAAGCGAAAAGUUUCCUCCCGACACAUACAGCAUUCCUGAUUUCAUUUUUCUGGCCGUGUUCCUCAUCAAAACCACUGCACUCAGACUUUCUCAAAAAAUUGUUUCUGCCUGGUCCUGUUUUCAUAUCAAAAAAGCCCCUGUGGUUUCAGCCAAGGGUAAGGAAAGCAUUUGGACAAAACUUGUGUUUUCUUUAAAAUGACGAGAAACAAAAAAUUAUAAAAUCAUGUGAAAAUUAUUUGCUUUAGAGGCUGCAAAUACGUGCUUUUGUGUUCUUAUAGACUGCUAAACAGCAGGCUGUGACCCUGCCCUCCAGUGACCACUCACCAGACACUUCGGUGGGGCAGACGACCCGGCAGGGAACGUUUCCUGGCCUUCAGGUUGUGUCUCCCAGCUGCGGAGCCAGGGCUCGGCCUGGGCUUGGCAGGUGGCGCAGGCGUGGCUGGGGGUGGGAUCCCGGCUCCUGGCUUGGAUCAUUGUGGUAGAGCACUUUGGAGCAGCCAGACCGGGGCUUUGUGUCUUCCCAUGUGUCUUGCAGUCAGUCCAUCGAAUCCUCCAGUUUUUGUAUGCUUUCAGAAUAAGAAACAAACAUGAGACACGUUGGACUCUAAAUUAGUGCUAACAAAAAGUUAAAACCAAGGAGCCCGGGUGGAGCCGGGUCCCCGAAGAGGCCUGUGCGGAUUUCAUGGGUCUGCUGGUGACAGAAACCUGCGUCGCUGUGCCCGCGGGGGUCCCUGGCUUGCCUGGGAACAGCGCGGAGACAGACGGUGCCCACUUGGCGCAGGGAAGUCGUCAGGGGAGAGGA